rnacentral:sRNA from 1 species
UGAAUGGUGUUAAAAAAGGUUGAAAUAC